rnacentral:rRNA from 1 species
ACACUCCUACGGGAGGCAGCAGUGGGGAAUAUUGCACAAUGGGCGCAAGCCUGAUGCAGCCAUGCCGCGUGUAUGAAGAAGGCCUUCGGGUUGUAAAGUACUUUCAGCGGGGAGGAAGGCAAUACGGUUAAUAACCGUGUUGAUUGACGUUACCCGCAGAAGAAGCACCGGCUAACUCCGUGCCAGCAGCCGCGGUAAUACGGAGGGUGCAAGCGUUAAUCGGAAUUACUUGGCGUAAAGCGCACGCAGGCGGUCUGUCAAGUCGGAUGUGAAAUCCCCGGGCUCAACCUGGGAACUGCAUUCGAAACUGGCAGGCUUGAGUCUUGUAGAGGGGGGUAGAAUUCCAGGUGUAGCGGUGAAAUGCGUAGAGAUCUGGAGGAAUACCGGUGGCGAAGGCGGCCCCCUGGACAAAGACUGACGCUCAGGUGCGAAAGCGUGGGGAGCAAACAGGAUUAGAAACCCCAGUAGUCCCAUG